rnacentral:rRNA from 1 species
AUUGAACGCUGGCGGCAUGCCUUACACAUGCAAGUCGAACGGCAGCACGGGAGCAAUCCUGGUGGCGAGUGGCGAACGGGUGAGUAAUAUAUCGGAACGUGCCCAGUCGUGGGGAUAACGUAGCGAAAGCUACGCUAAUACCGCAUACGAUCUAUGGAUGAAAGCGGGGGAUCGCAAGACCUCGCGCGAUUGGAGCGGCCGAUAUCAGAUUAGGUAGUUGGCGAGGUAAAGGCUCACCAAGCCGACGAUCUGUAGCUGGUCUGAGAGGACGACCAGCCACACUGGGACUGAGACACGGCCCAGACUCCUACGGGAGGCAGCAGUGGGAAUUUUGGACAAUGGGCGCAAGCCUGAUCCAGCAAUGCCCGCGUGCAGGAUGAAGGCC